UGCUGCAGCCUCCUCCAGCCACCAUGGGGACACCCAGGCAGCGUGUCCAAGCAGGAAGACAUCCCUGCCCUCAUCUGCCAACACCAGGCAAGGAAACUCCAGUCCAGGUUGGGUUUGAAGAGAGGAGAUGACUCAAACUCCAACAAUUUUGUGCAGCAUUUGGGAGAGAAGGGACCGACUAGAGGGCAGCAAAGCUCCAGGCCGGGAUGCUGCUGGGGAAGGCAGCGGGAUGCUAGAGGACCCCUGCACCCACAGGCUGGAGGAGUCAGGGGACUGCAAGCCCUGUGGUGUGCAGGGCGGCAACCAAGGACCUCCCAGCACGGCUAGAGGGGCUCAACCUUGAUGCCCAUGGGGUGGGAUGUGCCCCCCAAAGAGGUUGGUGCUCCACACCCCGACCCACAGCCCCUGGAUCCUCGGGGGGGCUUUAAAGGCAUCUCCAACCAGAAGAUGCUCAGGCCUCUGAUAAAUGCUCAGUGAAACCAGUGCAAUGGCUCUGUGGAUCACAUGAGAGCGUUCAGAGAUGGGAGCUUCUCAGCCCCAGGUGUGUUGGGACACAAUGGGCCCCAUUCCUGCCUUGCUGAGGACCACCUAGAAGUCUGAACUGCAGCUUCUUGCUCAAACCAGUACCCCAGAUAGUCUCUCCUGCAGGUUGAACGACCCCAACUCUCUCAGCCAGUCCUCGUAUGGGAGAUGCUCCAGCCCUUGGAUCAUCUCUGUGGUCUCCUCUGGACUCGCUCCAACAGAUCCAUGUCCUUCCUGCGCUGAGGACUCCAGAACUGGACACAGAACUCCAGGAGUGUUGGCACUUUUCAGGCUCUCUCUGUUUAACAAGUUAGUGGAAUUUGGGAUGUUGUUUUUAAAAGGGCUGUUGUUAGGUCUUCUGUGUUUCUCAUCAGGAAGCGAUGAGGAGGCCUUUAGCCAGAUUAAAAAAGAUCUGAUUUUGAGGUGCUGAGGAUGUGGUUCUUGGGGAGAAGCGAGAAAGUAUCUUUAACUUUUGCAGUACCAAGGAAACUCAAGCUGCAGCCUGGGCUUCUUCCCCAGGAAGCCUCAGUUUACGCAGUCCUGCCAUUAAAUAUUUAGGAUAAACAUUUCCAUGAACGAUAAGGCUGCAGCAUCCAAGGUAAAUAAGUUCCCUACCAAAGGGCCACUGUGACAGCAGGAAUUUGUCUGCAAGUUGGGAGGAAAGAGAUGCCAAGCUGGCAUUUCUGCAGGCUGUGCCCAUCUGCCUGGGAUGGGGGGUCCCUCCUGCAAGGCUGACCCUGAAGGGGGUGUCGGGGGACAAAGCAGGGGUGAAUGCGCUGUGGGUGACCCAUGGUUGGGCAGAGACACCAGAGCUCGCAGCUCUCCCUGUCACAAGGCUCAUCACCUCCCAAUGCCAGCCUUGGUCUGGGUGGUCCUGCAAAGCAAGGGAGCAGCAGACACUGUCACAGCCCCCCCAGUCCCCAUCCUGGCUCUCUGUGUGCUUCAGCUUUGAAGACAACUCUUCCAAGGCUCUCAAAGCAUUUCCUUCACUAUAAAGGGAGGAGCCUGACCACCCAUUGCCAUCCUGUGCCCAGCUCCAGCAGCAUGCCCAGGUCUUCCCAGGAGCCUGGAGUUACUUAGUGAAGCUCAGCAGGUGCCAGGCUCCCUCUGAGCUUGUUUUUCCUUCCUUUCCAUCUAAACUUCCCAGCCAAAACAUCCUCUUCCCCUGAGAACCCUUGCAGAGAUCCUUAUCUCCCCAAGGUCCUUGUUGUAAGAAGAAGGAAUGUGUGGGGUUGUUGGCGGCCUGGAUUGCAAAGGACACGCUGUACAGUGGGGACUUUGCCAGGAAGCCAGUCUGUUUGGGAAGGAAGAGUGUGCCUGGAAAGCACAGCUUGCCGCACCACAGCUCAGGGCCAGGAUCUGCAAGGAGAGGGAAGAUACAGAGAAAGCCUUGCCUUCAAGCGGGAAAAGAGGACAAGAGGUUUGUGCUGCCUGUCUAAAAGGAGCUAAAAUUCCAGUAAAGUGGAGUGGGAGCUUUCAUUCAGCUGGUAGCACCUCUUCUUCCCCACCGAGCAUUGCCAUGGCAGCUUGCAGCUGCGUGGAGCAGCUGGAGAAGGGCUCCCAUCGCGGGCAGGUGUCCAGUAUCUUCAGUGCUCCCUUGCUUGGUCUGUUUGCCUGGUGCGAGGUAGACGUUGGUCCUCCAUGGCUGAAGCAGUGACUGCAGAGAGAACACAGCCAGGAAGCCGCCCCUAUGGCUGCUGCUGAACUCCUCCAUACAUUUCCGCUGCUGUCUGCCUGUGCUCGGUGGGAACGUGCGUCUCCAAAGCAGCGUAGGGAUUAAUGGACCGUAAGGAACAGGGCAGAUCUCACCAUGCUGUCCCCAUCCUGGCCGGCAGCGGGUGCAGCCCUGGAACAGCGGAGCUCCAAGCCAGCUCCACUCCAGCAUCUCCUCUGAAAUAUCCUGUCUCAAAGUGAUUUUACAAGCCUUUACUUCCAGGGAUCUUGACCUUUUGAUUUAUAAAUCAGCUGUGUUAUUGAACAGAUGAAUAAUACAUGAUCACACCCAGCCCUGCACUAAGCUCUAUGUGUAAAAUUUAAUUAAUCCUCUCACGUAACACACCCAAGGGCCAGUGAUGAAUUGUUACGCACAGCUUGGGCUGCCAGUCUACCCAGAGCAUCCCAGCCCCAGCAUCCCGCUCACCCCAGGUGGCUUUCCCUCCAGCAAUUUUUUUGGAUGCUUCUCUCUCUGGGUGUUUUAAAGGGGAAAAUUCCCCCUUUGCUGUGGAACUGCUAGAGGAAACCCUGACAGCAUUCUAUCCCAAAGUAUUUCCUCUGGGAAAUAAUAUUGGCUUUUUCUUUCCCUGACAUUUUCUUGCCGUGGCUGUUCAUAACAUGAAAUCCUAAGUAAAUGUCUCCAUUCAGGUGGGUUUAACAGGUAACCAUGAGCAAACACUAUCACUGUCGGUGCAACCUCCAGGAGAUCCCCAGGUAUUUAAAUGGGAAUCAGCCCCAAAGGUGGCCUUGUUCCCAGCAUGGUCCUUCCCUCCAGCUACUGCAUGGGAGGGGUGGGAACAGGUUUGCUUGUUCAUGGACUCUGGGGUGAGUUUUGGAGCUAAUGUGAUCUGGCAUUGGUCCCACAUGGAUGAAAGCUCUGCCUGCUCCCACUGGCAGAUAAGCCAGUCCCUGGUCGCUGCCUCUCCCCAUCUGAGCACGUGGUGUUUCAGUGAAAGCGCUGAAAAAUAAACACAUUUCCUUAUAACUCCAAGCACACAAAUGUUACCCUUGGCUGCACGUGAAGGGCUGGGCACCCUGGGACUGAAGGGGCUUUUGUUGGGGAAAUGGCUGCAAGAGCAAGUUGAAAACUCUUUCUAGGUUCCUCUCCCUGCCUCCUUCUCCCAACUUUUCCCUGGAUGGCAGAGACGAUCUGGAGGGAUUUACAGCUCUCUCCCACGGCUGCAGCCUGCAGGGCUCAGGGAGCAUCCCCUUCUCUGGGGCAACAGCUGGAGCCUCUUCACUGUAAGCUCCUUCCCAGCUUUUCUCCCUCCUCCUUGCAGGCUGUGGAUGCCCUGGGCUUCCUCCUCUCUCCCUCCCAACCCUCCCAAUUAAAUGUUUCCAAGUGAGAUUGUCUUGAAGUGUCUGCAGCUUCAGAAAUUCCCUGCAGGUUGCUUCUGAGGAGUGGUUUCAAAGGCUUCCUGAGUCCUGGAAACAAUUUCCAGGCACCGAGGAGAGGACAGUGCCAGCCCCAGUCAUGGCUUGGCAGACGGUCCAAAGAGCCACCAGGCUGGGAUGUUCUCUGCCCAUCCCAGCCAUGGAGGGACAGCUCUGGUGUGGGGUCCAAGGGAUGUCAGGCAGCACAAUACUUUCAGGAUGAGGUUCCAGGCUCCUGGAUGCAGCAGGAUGAAUGUUCCUCAGCACAGCCUCCAGAUGUGCAUUUAAUUCCAAUUCAGUCAUGUUUACUGUGAGACCGUAAAGCCGUGGAGUGCUUUUGGAUGCGUUUCCGGGGCUAUCCUCCAGCUUCUUCCCAUGCAUGGCUACCAUCUCCUGCCACCAAACCCUUCCCUUACUGUUUAUUUGUCGCACUUAAUCAAUACAAAUGAGUUAUGAGCCAUGAAUGGUCCCUGAUCCCAGUGCAAAUCUCUGUAAAACAGAGAUCUCUGUAAAAAAGGCUGGAAAAGCCUUUCCCCAGUCUUUGGCUGGUUCGCUUUGUGUGUUUGCUGGGGGCUGUGCUGCUCCCCUCUUGGACACCGGCUGUACCUGCUGGGGGUGGUGUCCCUUUGUCCUCUGGGUGCUGACAAUCCCACCCACAACACGUCCUGCACUGGGGUGGCUGGCAGAGACCCCCUAGGAGCAUCAGAAGGCACCUCCAUCAGCUAGAACAUCAUCACUGUUUUUCCUUCUGUGCUGUACUCAUAGCAGUGUGGCUCUGCCCUCAUCUGCCUCCCCACUGAUGUCCUCACCUUCCAUGCCUGCAAGGGCCAUUCCCUGAACUCCUCCCUGAGUCAAUUUUUAACAACCCCAUUUAUAUGUGUUACCACUGUCCUACACAGAGUCCCUGAUCGCAUUUGGCAGGUUGGCCAGGCUUGAAAACCCUCAACUUUCUCUUGCGAGCUGUAUCAAUAUUUAUUUUGAGUCUUGCAUGAAACCUGCUGAACCCUGGUGGUACAUUUGCAAGUGUCAUUGUUUGGGGAUUUAUCGGAUGGUUCCUUAUUGCAAACAUCAGGGAGGCUGGUUGUGAAGCAUCAAUGAUUUCCUUGAAGGAAAACAGCUGGAUCUGUUGAUGUGGCCAUCCAUCCAUCCAUCCCAAGACACCUCAAGCAACCCCUACUACCCCACGUGUGCAGAAAGAGGGUACAGGGGCAGGGAUGAAGGUGGGUCUACCAUCCAUGGAGAUUCAUGGGAUGUGCCUGUUGGGUGCUGGGGAUGGAAGAGGGGAACAAGGGACUGAAGUGGCAAAUGUGGUGCAGCCAUGGCCAUGCUGCACACACCAGGGCAGC